rnacentral:rRNA from 1 species
GAUGAACGCUGGCGGCGUGCCUAAUACAUGCAAGUCGAACGCUGGAAAUCUAGCUUGCUAGAUUGAAGGAGUGGCGAACGGGUGAGUAAUACAUAAGCAACCUACCCACGAAGACUGGGAUAAUCUCUGGAAACGGGGACUAAUACCGGAUAGGUAAUCGGAAGGCAUCUUCUGAUUAUUAAAGGUUAAAAACCCUGGUGGAUGGGCUUAUGGCGCAUUAGUUAGUUGGUGAGGUAACGGCCCACCAAGACGAUGAUGCGUAGCCGGCCUGAGAGGGUGAACGGCCACAUUGGGACUGAGACACGGCCCAGACUCCUACGGGAGGCAGCAGUAGGGAAUUUUCGGCAAUGGGGGAAACCCUGACCGAGCAACGCCGCGUGAGUGAUGACGGCCUUCGGGUUGUAAAGCUCUGUUGUAAGGAAAGAACGGUAGAUAGAGAAUAUCUAAAUGACGGUACCUUACCAGAAAGCCACGGCUAACUACGUG